rnacentral:rRNA from 1 species
AAUUCGCCCUUAGAGUUUGAUCAUGGCUCAGAGUGAACGCUGGCGGCGUGCUUAACACAUGCAAGUCGAACGAGAACGGCCCUAGCUUGCUAGGGCGUCAGCUAAGUGGCGCACGGGUGAGUAAUGUAUAGCUAACAUGCCCCAUAGAGGGGGAUAACAGUUGGAAACGACUGCUAAUACCCCAUACUCCUUCAUCACGUAAGUGAUGUUGGGAAAGGUUUAUUCCGCUAUGGGAUUGGGCUAUAUCGUAUCAGCUAGUUGGUAGGGUAACGGCCUACCAAGGCUAUGACGCGUAGCGGGUCUGAGAGGAUGAUCCGCCACACUGGAACUGAGACACGGUCCAGACUCCUACGGGAGGCAGCAGUGGGGAAUAUUGGGCAAUGGGCGAAAGCCUGACCCAGCAACGCCGCGUGGAGGAUGACGCCCUUCGGGGUGUAAACUCCUUUUAUCAGGGAAGAUGAUGACGG